AGCUCCAAUAGCGUAUAUUAAAGUUGUUGCGGUUAAAAGCUCGUAGUUGGAUUUCUGUUGAGGAUGUCCAGUCCACGCCUUGCGUGAGUAUUUGGUACAGCCUCGGCAUCCUCCUGGGGAGCGUAAUUGUACUUGAUUGUAUGAUGCGUAAUUCAGGACUUUUACUUUGAGGAAAUUAGAGUGUUCACGGCAGGCGCUUGUCUUGAAUAUGUUAGCAUGGAAUAAUAAUAUAAGACCUCGGUUUUAUUUGUUGGUUUCUAGAAGCGAGGUAAUGAUUAAUAGGGACAAUUGGGGGUAUUCGAAUUAUAACGUCAGAGGUGGAAUUCUUAGAUUGUUAUACGACGAACUACUGCGAAAGCAUUUACCAAGGAUGUUUUCA
rnacentral:rRNA from 1 species